rnacentral:miRNA from 1 species
UCCAGGCCUGUCUCUUUGGCUCAUGAUAAUGUCUAAAUAGCCAGUGAGGGUUUACUGUGUGCCAGGCACUGUGC